GAACUGGGUCGACCAUGAGCGGGAGCCCCAGGAGUGCUAUCCCUGCCCUUUCCCAUCAAUCAUUUACAUUACCUUUCUCAAUACAACACUCAGACAUGGUCUCUUUUCUUCCAGCAUUGAUGGACUCUGGAUCAGCCGUGAACUUCAUCAACCAAGAGACAGUCAACCGCCUUAACCUCCCGACUCGGCCCCUCCAUUGGCCAUUGCAUUUUCACGCCAUCAACAGAGGUCCGAUCAGAGGAGGCAUUGUCACCCAGUGCACCCAACCUCUCCUCAUCCACAUUGGUGCCCUACAUCAAUAGGAAAUCUCCUUCCGGGUCACAUCUACACACAAGCACCCCAUCAUCCAGAGUUUUCCAUGGAUGCAGCUCCAUAACCCACGAAUCUCCUGAAGGGACAAGAAAAUCACCCGCUGGUCCUCUUACUGUCAUGGCCACUGCCUCCAGUCUCCCGAGCUCCAGGUGGCAUUGACUUCUGUGAAAAGCCCAGAGGACCAUAACCCCAUCGUCAUCCCGUCAGAGUCCCUGGACCUGAAAAAAGUGUUCAGCAAAACCAAGGGCAGCAGGUUACUCCCUCAUUGCUCCUAUGACUGCACCAUUGAGCUGCUACCAGGGGCCACUCCUCCUAGUAAAAGAAUUUAAAUCCUUUCUGUAGCUGAACAGCAAGCCAUGGAGGAGUACAUUCAGAAAGCACUUCAACAUGGGUAUGUCCAUAGAGUACAUUCAGAAGGCCUGCGUUUUCACCAAGCUGGAUCUCUGCAGUGAUUAGAACUUGGUGCGUAUCCGGGAGGGGAAUGAGUGGAAGACAGAAUUUAGCACCACCUCUGGCUACUAUGAGUACCAAGUAAUGCCGUAUGGGCUCUCCAGCACCUCCUUAGUUUUCCAGUGUUUUAUCACUGACAUCCUGAGAAAUAUGCUGGGAAGAUAUGCAUAGUUACAUAGACAACAUCCUGAUCUACUUCCCCUCUGCAGAAAUUUAUGCGCACCACAGUUGGCAGGUCCUCAAACACCUUCAGCUCUACACAAAGGGCAAAGUCAAAGAGAACAUGACUGGGAGUGAAGAUGGGCAUGAGGAUGGACCUGGUCAUCACCAUGCUGGAUGUGGAGACCUGAUGCUGCUAGCAUCAGGUCUUCUCAAUGCUGGACGAAGCAGGUUUGUGCAGGAGCUCAUCAAAGUCCCCAAUCAGAUAUUUGGGCUCACGGUAGCACACCUUGCCACCCUCAUAGCUCUCCUCAUAGAACCUGCUGAAGUUUGCAAUGCUGCCAAUGAUAACACCUACAUUAUCAUAGUUCUUUGAGUAGCUCUGGUUCACUUUGACCUGCUCAGCCAUGUGGGUGGGGAUGAUGUUACACAGGAUCCAGCCUGCCUGGUCCUGCAUGUUGUAGAGUUUAAUGCAGUGUUGGGCGGCUCCCAUAUUGCCAUGGUAGUACAUACAGCCUAUAGCUUACCUCAGUAGCCUAUAGCUUACUCAUGGGUCAGAAACAAGACGAGAAGCAAGAGCAGCGAGAAGGACAGUAUAGCUUUGUUACCCAGGACAUUAUGAAGAUAACGCUUAGGAUCCACAGAGAUAAAACUAUUGUUGCUGUUGGUAGAGUCACUGGAACUAACGAAAAGGAAGACAUACCCAAAACAGUUCAUGCACCCACCUCAAAGAGCGUUUAAUGAGAACAAGAUGUAUUAAGUACACUAAACAUCCCUGUUUUAUGUGCAAAACUUGUGUAAGAACCUAAACGCACGAUUUCCAACAUGAGAACACUGUUGUGCUUUAAACGUGAAUGUGGGACAGUUAGCAAUUUCUUACUAAUUUAUUAGUAGAUCGAAGUGCCCUGCCUGAAGUAUACAGACUAAUCAUAUUGCUAAUGUACUGUGGAGCCAGACCAUGUAGUGCCUUAAAAGAAAACAUUAAAAUUUAAAAAUUGAUUCUAUGCUUGACCGAAAGUUAAUGUAAAGAUGCCAUGACUGGUGAAAUACUGUCUCUUGUUCUUGUACUAGUAAGAAGUGUAGCGGUGGUAUAUUGGUCACGGUACAGAUGGGAAAGCAUGGACAGGUUAACUCCCACAUAAAGAGAAUUGCAAUAAUCAAGCCAUGAUAUAGUGAUCAUGCCUAGAGGAUAUUAAGAAUUACACAAAGUACUGUUUUAAACUGUGAAAAAGUGGAAAUCAAACUGUUCAUUUUGAUCAAAAGCAUGUAAUUAAGAUGGCAUAAACAAUUGUCAAGAUACAGUGGCAUAAACAACUGUGAAGGUACAGUGCCUCCAGAAAGUAUUAACCUCCCCAGUGAUUAUUUCUUUUUUUUGCUGUAUUGCAACAUCACAUGUUUCUGCUCAUUGAGAUUAAAACAUAUAAAUGUCCUCAGAUGUAUUUAAAAAAUAAAAAUUAUUGAAAUGCCAUAAUUGAGUAUGCAAACAAAGUAUUUAACCCCUUUUCUUUUAGCAAUCUAAAUUAUGACUGGCAUUUAAUUUUCAAGAGCUGUUUAAUUUUUAAGAGGUCUCAUAGCUAAAAUGACAGUUCAGAUCAGUCCUCCUGUCACUGAAGACCAAGGAACUGCCCGUGAAGCUAUAUGUUUAAGGUUUUAGGAGAAAAAAGAUAUAGAAAGUUAUUAAAGCAUCAGAAAAGCUGAUUUUUUAAAAACCCUUUUAGAAGCACUGUGAAAUCCAUUAUAACAAUUGGAAAAAUAUGGUACAACCCAGAAACUCCCAUGAUCAGGCCAAACUGAGUGCCCAAGCAAGAAGGGAAAUUCUCAGUUAAAUGUGCAAUACUGAAGGAAUUACAAGCUCGCUGUCUGAAACAGGAGAACCUGUGCAGAGUACACCUCAGCAGUACCAGAUCUUCACACAUCUCGCCUCUAUGGGAGAGUGGCCAGAAGGAACCAAUUCUGAGAAAGACCAUCUGAGAGCUUUUGGAAAAAUAAUUGUGGCUUGAUGAGACUAAAGUUGAGUGUAAAGACAAAACAUAAUGUGCAAAGGAGAUACAACCCAACACCCAGGUAACACCAUUCCUGUGAUUAAACAUGUUGGUGGUAGCAUCAUGCUCUAGGGUUGCUUUUAAUCAGGAGGAAAUUGAAAGCUUGUUGUCAUCACAGACAACAUGGAUGGAGCCACAUAUAAGCAAAUUGUUGAGGAGAACCUAUUCCAGUCAGCAAGACAUCUGCAGUUAGGUAAAAUAUAUACGUUCCAGUAGGACAAUGAGCCAAAUAAGAGAGCAAAAACUACAAAACAGUUGCUUGGAAAAAAAUAAGGUUUGUGUUUUACAACUGCCAAAUCAAAACCCAGACUUAAAUCCAAUUGAAAAGACCUGAAAAUUGCUGUCUGCCAAUGUUCUACGUCUAAUUUGAAGAAAAUAUGUAUUGACAAAUUGAAGAAAAUGCCAAAAUCAAAAUGCUCAAAGCUCAAAGAGAUACAUCUGAGACAACUCAAAUCUGUAAUUGCUGCAAAAGUACAAUUCACAGUGAAUAUGUAUCAAUUUAGCAGUUUUUAGAUAAUAAAUAAAUAAAUAAAAUAAUGAUAAAAUAACUAGCUCCAGGAUCUCUGGUUUCAGCUUGAGCUCAGGUCUACGUAUUAUUUCAUGUGUUCUUCCCAUGCCCGUGUGAGUUUCCUCCAGAAUUUCUGGUUUCCUCUCACCCAAAAACAUUAUGGUAGGUUGAUUAGCGACGCUAAGUUGUGAGCAUGGUGUCCUAGAUGGACUGGUGUCCCAUCCAGGGUGUGUGCCAGUGCUCCUGGUGUAGGCUCUGGAUUAACCCUGAGGAUAAAGUUCAUGCUGAAUAUGAAUGAUUGAAUUAUUACCAGGGAAAACAUAACAGAAAUAUUAGGUUUUUGAUUAAAAAAAAGAAAAAGAAAACAAA
ensembl:lncRNA